UACGUAGGUGGCAAGCGUUGUCCGGAAUUAUUGGGCGUAAAGGGCGUGUAGGCGGUGUUUUAAGUCAGGCGUGAAAUCUCUGGGCUUAACCCAGAAAUUGCGUUUGAAACUGGAAUACUUGAGGACCGGAGAGGGCAGUGGAAUUCCCAGUGUAGCGGUGAAAUGCGUAGAUAUUAGGAGGAACACCAGUGGCGAAGGCGACUUUCUGGACUGUAACUGACACUGAGGCUCGAAAGCUAGGGUAGCAAAC
rnacentral:rRNA from 1 species